GCCCGAGUGGUGGAAUUGGUAGACGCAGGGGACUCAAAAUCCCCCGCCGCAAGGCGUGCCGGUUCGAUUCCGGCCUCGGGCACCA
rnacentral:tRNA from 1 species